GCCUUUGACCAUAUCACCAUGGAUGCUCCUGAUCUCAGAAGCUAAGCACGGUUGGGUCUGGUUAGUGUUUCCAUGGGAGAAUGUGGUAGUGAGUAGGAUUCAAAAGAG
rnacentral:rRNA from 1 species